UACGGGGGGGGCAAGCGUUGUUCGGAAUUACUGGGCGUAAAGGGUGCGUAGGCGGCCUGUUAAGUCAGGCGUGAAAGCCCUGGGCUCAACCUGGGAGGUGCGUUUGAUACUGGCAAGCUUGAGUGCAGGAGAGGAUGGUGGAAUUCCCAGUGUAGAGGUGAAAUUCGUAGAUAUUGGGAAGAACACCGGUGGCGAAGGCGGCCAUCUGGACUGCAACUGACGCUGAGGCGCGAAAGCGUGGGGAGCAAACAGG
rnacentral:rRNA from 1 species